GCAGGGGCAGGAGGCUGAAUCUUGGGGACCACUUGGGUGCAGGAGGGUGGAAGGGGAGGAGCCUGACCAGCAUUUGCAAGAUCCUGGCGCCUCUAGUUCCUAAGGAUGGGCCACCAUGUUCAAUUCUCCCUUUAGGCUGUGGAGGUGGGUCCACUUCUAGGCUGGGAGUGGGGAGAGAGAAUGAAAUGAAAGAAACAGAGACUAGGAGACAGAGACAAAAGAAAUCAUACAAAGCCAGGGCAGGAAAAAGGAUAUGCUUGUUUUCCAGAGAAAUCAUUUCACCUUUACAGCCUUGGAAGACAGUGGAGAGAUAUGGGUAGGCCCUAGACUCAGCUGGCUUCAAGGAUAUGUGAAGUGCAGAUUGAGAGGAUAAUGUCACCUUUUACAGAGCCUGGAUUUUGUCUGUUUUGCUUACUGCUGUAUCCCCAGAACCCAGAACAGUACCUGCCACAUAGUAGGAGC
rnacentral:lncRNA from 1 species